rnacentral:rRNA from 1 species
AACGAACGCUGGCGGCGUGGAUUAGGCAUGCAAGUCGAACGAGAAUCUGGAGGUUCAAGUUUUCGGACAAGAACUUUCGGAGGAAAGUGGCGGAAGGGUGAGUACAACAUGGAUAAUCUACCUUCAAGUUGGGUAUAGCUUCCCGAAAGGGGAGAUAAUCCCGAAUGUGGUGAUCCGGCGCCUGUCGGAGAAUCCAAAGGUGGGGACCGCAAGGCCUGCCGCUUGAAGAUGAGUCCGUGCACUAUCAGCUAGUUGGUGAGGUAAUGGCUCACCAAGGCGAUGACGGUUAGCUGGUCUGAGAGGAUGGUCAGCCACACUGGGACUGAGAUACUGCCCAGACUCCUACGGGAGGCUGCAGUCGAGAAUCAUUCGCAAUGGGCGCAAGCCUGACGGUGCGACGUCGCGUGGAGGAUGAAGGUCUUCGGAUUGUAAACUCCUGUCAUGUGGGAUAAUGGCCAGGGCAUGAAUAGUG